rnacentral:rRNA from 1 species
AGAGUUUGAUCAUGGCUCAGGAUGAACGCUAGCGACAGGCCUAACACAUGCAAGUCGAGGGGGCAUCAGGUAUCAGCUUGCUGAUACGCUGGCGACCGGCGCACGGGUGAGUAACGCGUAUGCAAUCUGCCUGUAACAGGGGGAUAACCCGGAGAAAUCCGGCCUAAUACCCCAUAAGGAUGUCUGUCCGCAUGGGGCGGUCAUCUAAAGGUUUUCCGGUUACAGAU